rnacentral:rRNA from 1 species
AUUGAACGCUGGCGGCAGGCCUAACACAUGCAAGUCGAGCGGAUGAAGGGAGCUUGCUCCUGGUUUCAGCGGCGGACGGGUGAGUAAUGCCUAGGAAUCUGCCUGGUAGUGGGGGAUAACGUCCGGAAACGGGCGCUAAUACCGCAUACGUCCUGCGGGAGAAAGUGGGGGAUCUUCGGACUUCACGCUAUCAGAUGUGCCUAGGUCGGAUUAGCUAGUUGGUGGGGUACAGGCCUACCUAGGCGACGAUCCGUAACUGGUCUGAGAGGAUGAUCAGUCACACGGGAACUGAGACACAGUCCAGACUCCUACAGUAGGCAGCAGUGGGGAAUAUUGGACGAUGGGCGAGAGCCUGAUCCAGCCAAGCCGCGUGUAUGAAGAAGGUCUUCGGAUUGGAGAGCACUUUAAGUUGGGAGGAAGUGCAGUAAGUUAAUACCUUGCUGUUUUGACGUUACCAACAGAAUAAGCACCGGCUAACUUCGUG